rnacentral:rRNA from 1 species
AUUGAACGCUGGCGGCAGGCCUAACACAUGCAAGUCGAGCGAGCGGCGGACGGUUGAUUAAUGUAUUGGGACUGCCUGAUAGAGGGGGAUAACUACUGGAAACGGUGGCUAAUACCGCCUACUAUCGGUUAACCCAUAUGGGAUUAGCUACUAGGUGGGGUAAAGGCGCACCUAGGCGACGAUCCCUAGCUGGUCUGAGAGGAUGAUCAGCCACACUGGGACUGAGACACGGACCAGACUCCUACGGAGGCAGCAGUGGGGAAUAUUGCACAAUGGGCGCAAGCCUGAUACAGCCAUGCCGCGUGUAUGAAGAAGGCCUUAGGGUUGUAAAGUACUUUCAGCGGGGAGGCGUUACCCGAAGAAGAAGCACCGGCUAACUACGUGCCAGCAGCCGCGGUAAUAC